rnacentral:rRNA from 1 species
AACGAACGCUGGCGGCGUGCUUAACACAUGCAAGUCGAACGUGAUUCAGUCUUCGGACUGAUGAAAGUGGCGCACGGGUGAGUAACACGUGGAUAAUCUACCCGAUGAUCCGGGAUAACAUCUCGAAAGGGGUGCUAAUACCGGGUAAGCCCACGGACUCUUCGGAGUUUGCGGGAAAAGGUGGGGACCUUCGGGCCUACCGUCAUCGGAUGAGUCCGCGUACCAUUAGCUAGUUGGCAGGGGUAAUGGCCUACCAAGGCAACGAUGGUUAGCUGGUCUGAGAGGAUGAUCAGCCACACUGGAACUGAGACACGGUCCAGACUCCUACGGGUGGCAG